rnacentral:rRNA from 1 species
AUUGAACGCUGGCGGCAGGCCUAACACAUGCAAGUCGAGCGGAUGAAGGGAGCUUGCUCCUGGAUUCAGCGGCGGACGGGUGAGUAAUGCCUAGGAAUGUGCCUGGUAGUGGGGGAUAACGUCCGGAAACGGGCGCUAAUACCGCAUACGUCCUGAGGGAGAAAGUGGGGGAUCUUCGGACCUCACGCUAUCAGAUGAGCCUAGGUCGGAUUAGCUAGUUGGUGGGGUAAAGGCCUACCAAGACGACGAUCCGUAACUGGUCUGAGAGGAUGAUCAGUCACACUGGAACUGAGACGCGGUCCAGACUCCUACGGGAGGCAGCAGUGGGGAAUAUUGGACAAUGGGCGAAAGCCUGAUCCAACCAUGCCGCGUGUGUGAAGAAGGUCUUCGGAUUGUAAAGCACUUUAAGUUGGGAGGAAGGGCAGUAAGUUAAUACCUUGCUGUUUUGCCGUUACCAACAGAAUAAGCACCGGCUAACUUCGUG